rnacentral:miRNA from 1 species
GAGAGAGAGAGAGAGAAG